UACGUAGGGGGCUAGCGUUGUCCGGAUUUAUUGGGCGUAAAGCGCACGUAGGCGGAUCUUUAAGUCAGGGGUGAAAUCCUGGAGCUCAACUCCAGGACUGCCUUUGAUACUGGGGAUCUCGAGUCCGGGAGAGGUGAGUGGAACUCCGAGUGUAGAGGUGAAAUUCGUAGAUAUUCGGAAGAACACCAGUGGCGAAGGCGGCUCACUGGCCCGGUACUGACGCUGAGGUGCGAAAGCGUGGGGAGCAAACAGG
rnacentral:rRNA from 1 species